CAGAGAUAGGGACACUCAAUCAAACAAACAAAUACACAAACUCUGCUCAAGCCAGAUUUGCAUACGAAGCUAUAGUCAGCACCAAGCCUUAAUCCUUUUCAAGAUCAACCUUCACCAAAAGCCUUUGUAAAAGCUCUGUUACCUUGUCUGAAUCUUGUUGUAGUAUCGAUUCCUUCCUGUAAACUCAUCUCCCAAUCUCCCUUCUAGCACUCAAACCCUUUGUCAAUCACAAAGAGAGGAAGUUGCAAGACGAUCAGCCUUGCCCGACCCUCUUUGUUCUGUCUUUUCAUUCACAAAUCUAGUAAUAUGAUGUAUACUUCCAUCUGUAUCCAAGUUAUUUCUAGCAAGUUUAUGAUUAAAAGGCUUCUUGGUUUUUGGAUCUGGUCGGUUUAAUGGUGUCCAACCAUGCAAAAGAUAAAAUGGGAAUCUGCACUCAUAGCUUGACCAGAUCUAAGUUAUAACCUU
rnacentral:lncRNA from 1 species